AGAAAUUCCAACCGAACGUGGAGAUAGCUGGUUCUCCCCGAAAUGUAUUGAGGUACAGCCACGUGACAGCUACUCUGGAGGUAGAGCGCGGCAUGAGCUAGGGGCCAAGUGCUGGUUACCAACCUCAAGCCAACUACGAAUGCCAGAGCAGAUCAGCGCGUGAGUGAGACGGCGGGGGCUAAGCUUCGUCGUCGAAAGGGAAACAGCCCAGACCAUCAGCUAAGGUCUCAAAGUAUUACUCAGUGUGAAAGGGAGUCAGUUCGCCCAAACAGCCAGGAUGUUGGCUUAGAAGCAGCCAUCAUUGAAAGAGUGCGUAAUAGCUCACUGGUCGAGUGGAGUGGCACCGACAACGUAUCGAGGCUCAAGUAAUACACCGAAGCUAUGGAUACCUUUCUGUAGAGAGAGGUAUGGUAGGGGAGCGUUCUCCAAGCCUGAGAAGCCAGACUGAAAAGACUGGUGGAGGUACGAGAAGUGAGAAUGCCGGAAUGAGUAGCGUCAUAUCUGUAAGAACCAGAUACACCGAAAGCCUGAGGGUUCCUGGGCAACGUCAAUCGUCCCAGGGUGAGUCGGGUCCUAAGCCGAGGACGUCAUAGUCGUAGGCGAUGGAAAGCAGGUUUCAAAUUCCUGCACCAGAGACAAUCGUUAUGAGCAAUGGGGGGACGCGGUAGGGAAAGUGAACCCGGCAAGUGGACAGGCCGGGCGUCUUGUCUGAAGUGCGUGACCGAGGCAAAUCCCGGUUACCGGAGCAUGACAGCAGGACCGAGCUCGAGCAAUCGGGCGGAAGUGACUGAUCCCCAGGCCGCCAAGAAAAGCCUCUCGCCAGAUUGAUCUCUGCCCGUACCGCAAACCGACACUGGUAGGCGAAGAGAAGACUCUUAAGGUGAACGAGCGACCCUCUGUUAAGGAACUCGGCAAAUUAACCCCGUACCUUCGGAAGAAGGGGUGCCUGAGUAGCUUCCAUCUUCGGAUGGGGGUGAGCAGGCCGCAGGAAAUUGGCUCAAGCGACUGUUUACCAAAAACACAGGUCUCUGCAAACACGAAAGUGGACGUAUAGGGGCUGACUCCUGCCCAGUGCCGGAAGGUUACGAGGAGUGGUGUGCGUAGCCACGAAUCUAAGCCCCGGUGAACGGCGGCCGUAACUAUAACGGUCCUAAGGUAGCGAAAUUCCUUGUCGGGUAAGUUCCGACCCGCACGAAAGGAGUAACGACUUGAGCACUGUCUCAACAGGGGACUCGGCGAAAUUGAAGUACCCGUGAAGAUACGGGUUACCCACGACAGGACAAAAAGACC
rnacentral:rRNA from 1 species